rnacentral:rRNA from 1 species
UACGAAGGGGGCUAGCGUUGUUCGGAAUCACUGGGCGUAAAGGGUGCGCAGGCGGGUUCAUAAGUCAGGGGUGAAAUCCCAAGGCUCAACCUUGGAACUGCCUUUGAUACUGGAAAUCUUGAGUCCGGGAGAGGUGAGUGGAACUGCGAGUGUAGAGGUGAAAUUCGUAGAUAUUCGCAAGAACACCAGUGGCGAAGGCGGCUCACUGGCCCGGUACUGACGCUGAGGCGCGAAAGCGUGGGGAGCAAACAGG